UACGUAGGGUGCAAGCGUUGUCCGGAAUUAUUGGGCGUAAAGAGCGUGUAGGCGGCCCGAUUAGUCCGCUGUGAAAGUCCAGGGCUCAACCCUGGAAUGCCGGUGGAUACUGUCGGGCUAGAGUCCGGAAGGGGCGAGUGGAAUUCCUGGUGUAGCGGUGAAAUGCGUAGAUAUCGGGAGGAAUACCAGUGGCGAAGGCGGCCUUCUGGACGGAUACUGACGCUGAGGCGCGAAAGCCAGGGGAGCAAACGGG
rnacentral:rRNA from 1 species